CUACGAUCCCAGCAGCCAGGGAAUGGUGAAUGGGACAUGCAUCAUACACACCUCACAUUGCUUCAUCCUUGGGAACUUUGAUUUUCCAGUCAGUCCUCCAUCCCUGAUUCCAUUUACUAAGCUUGGACCAGUGGCAAGGCUCUCACCAACUCAGCAGUGUGACAGUAACCCAUGCAUUCAAGGGUCCACCACCAGACUCCGAGCUAUGCACUAUGUUGUGAGCCGGAAAGGAGAAGAUUGAGUCUGGAAAGUAUAUCCUAGAAGAUGAAC